UACGGGGGGAGCGAACGUUGUUCGGAAUCACUGGGCGUAAAGGGCGUGUAGGCGGCUGAAUAAGUGGGAUGUUAAAUCCCCCCGGCUCAACCGGGGACCUGCAUCUCAUACUGUUCAGCUCGAGCACAUCAGAGGAGACUGGAAUUCCCGGUGUAGCGGUGAAAUGCGUAGAUAUCAGGAGGAACACCGAUGGCGAAGGCAGGUCUCUGGGCAUUAACUGACGCUGAGGAGCGAAAGCAUGGGGAGCGAACAGG
rnacentral:rRNA from 1 species